rnacentral:lncRNA from 1 species
GUUUCUUUGUCUUUCCACUUUCCCCAGACCGUCUCCUCACAGAUUCUUACAUUAGGGAUUCUUCCAGUAUCAAAAAGAAAUCGCAGCAGCCGGCUCCAAUCUCUUGCAAUUCAACCACUCUCAAAAAAUCCAAAUCUCCAGUUUCAAGUUUGAAGAGAUGGAAGAAUAGAUCAGUCUCUUUUAGAUGUAUUUUGCUAAAAAAGCUCGGCCCAAUUGAUUUUACACUUAGGCUAAUUUUUCUAAACCAUACAUAUAUAUUUUCUUCUUCUGUUAAUUGUUAUUGUUGUUCAAAUCGAUUAUAAUAAGGAGAUUAUUACUAUAUUUAUUUGGUUGAUUGAGGUGAUGAGAAAUAGGCAAAUAGCAGCGAAGAUUGAAAAAAGAAUCAAGCAUGUAAAUAGAUUGAUCGACUUCAAGGCAAAGAUCCCAGUAGCCAAAUAUCAUGUUUAAUUAUUUGAGUAGAAUGAAACAGGCUUUUGUGGGGUUAAUUCCAAAAUAAUGCUCGGUGAGGCAAUAUAUGUUUCCAGUUUCUAUUUCAUUAUGAACAGGAUUGACCGACUUCAAAGGCAAAGGUCCCAGUCCAGUAGC